CUAGUUUGACCUUGAUGAAUCAGAUAGAUUCUCAGUCUUUGAACGCUAGCUAUCGAUAGAUUAGCAAAGAAGUCACAACCAUGUUUGCUACUAAAAUUUUAACCCUGGUCUUUCUUGUGGUGGUUCUUUUGAUAUGCAUGAAUACGGUUCAAGGACAGUCCAUGCUUGGUGUCGAUUCUACUCUAUGUGGUGGGUGUCCUGCGGGUCAGUACUGCCAGGUCCUGUACCCACCCUGCGCUCACCCUCCCCCAGACUGUACCACCUGCCAAUUCAACUGCCAACCCAUCCACAGAUGUGUGGCACCGUUGUAAGAGAGGUGCAGCAAGAAGACUAGGCUAGUUGUCGACACACGAUAAAUUUUCUUGUACAGAGGGGAAAAAAUGUACCAUAGGCUACACUGCGUUAACAAUCACUGAAGUAGAAUCUACUUAAAAAUAAAGUUUAUAGCCUUCUGAAA